ACAGAUUCUAGUACUUUUGUCGGGUUGAGUCCCAUCCAGGAUUUGAACCCACACCCUCAGAGCCAGGCACCUUUAAAUCGCCAGCUGAUACAAGUUCACACUUAGCUCAUCAAAUAUUGCGUACGAUUCAAAUGACAGGAUUUCAGGCAAUCAGCCAUAGCUGGAUGUUCAUGACUCAUGAGGGAUACUUUAGCUGCACCGGAGCACGUCUCGCUUGGCUGACUUGGCAUCUGAGUCAAGAGCGACAAUAUCACCGCCUCAUCAUGUGACCGCUCAAGGUACAAUUGGCAAUUACUUCCGGGAGUUGUCAAUAGGGCUCCAGGAAGGACCAUGUUGCCACCAUGCCCCACCCCCUAGAGAGAUGCCUCACUCCCUGAGAUCGGUGCUUCUUGGCAGUGUAAGAUGACAUCAAAGUUGUGUCAAUUAUACAGGUCAGGCUCCAGGGAGUUAAUGUGGACUCUUCAUUAUUUUAUUUACCAUACUUUACGUGCUGGCUAACAACACUUAAAAGGAGUUUUUUUAACAAAGUCUGCUAGGAAUGGAUAGCACUCAUUUCAUACCCUUGCACUAGAUAUCAGGACUUUGAGGUAUAUGUUUUAAGAAUGCUAUUUUUUAUUGCAUUUUCAAAAUGCUUGUAGAUGUUGAUUUGGGAAACCACUUUUAUGAGAACUUUGUGGUAUUGGCUAAGAUUGAUGUUUUAAUGUUGACGUCUUGAAAAAAUAUUGCAAAAAGCGACAUGGUAGACGUAGUCGAAGUGGGGUGUUCUCUCACUUAGCACAAAAUUGGAAAUGAUCAAUUCCCACGUAGCCGGAAGGAUUGAGACAGACUUGAUUGGAUGGGGACUCGGGGAAUUCUCCAGUAGCUGCAGCAGAACCAGGGUGCUCGAGACUACAUCUUGGGGUGAUUUUUUUUUUGCAGAGUUAUUCCUCUUUGAUGUGUCUUGCUGUUGAUGCCGUAGAAGUUUGUUCUUGUCAAACUUUGCAUGUUUUUUUAUCAAAGGAUAAGUUUGGCUUACAUCUAACCAUAAAUUGACUUGGUGUAUACUGGGUAAUUCUGAGAUGAAAUGAUAUUCCAUUUUGUUUUGUUUACAAGUUAUUUAAAUACAUGGGACAGUUCACUAAAUUAUAACAAUUAACAAUAAUA